rnacentral:lncRNA from 1 species
CAAAAACAGAGGACAGACAAAUAUGUCCAUCUAUUUCCUAGAGCUGGGAUGCAUUCUUCCUCUCCUAUCCUUGGACAUCAGAACUCCAGGCUCCGGCCUUUGGACUCCAGGGCUUAACACCAGCAGCUCCCAGAUUCUCAGGCGUUCAGCCUCCAACUGAGAGUUACACCAUUGGCUUUCCUGAUUUUGAGGCCUUCAGACUUGGUUUAAGCCAUGCUACCAGCAUCCCAGAGCAUCCAGUUUGCAGAUGGCCUAUUGGGAGACUUCCCACCCUCCACAAUUAUAGCUACUAUGUUAUGAUAUCUCAAACUAAUAUUUGAGACUCCUUGGCUUGAUAACUAUGAUUCCAUUGAAGAUGACUAUUGAGUUGAAUGGCUCUGUUUUCCAUCAACGAUGACAGCUUUUAAUCACAGAUCUCAAGCCCAUUAUGAACAUUAAUUAAUGUCUGACAUCGCUUAAUGAGUUCCCAAGAAAACACUUGAAA